rnacentral:rRNA from 1 species
UACGUAGGGUGCAAGCGUUGUCCGGAAUUAUUGGGCGUAAAGAGCUCGUAGGCGGUUUGUCACGUCGGCUGUGAAAACCUGGGGCUCAACCCCGGGCCUGCAGCCGAUACGGGCAGACUAGAAUUCGGCAGGGGAGACUGGAAUUCCUGGUGUAGCGGUGAAAUGCGCAGAUAUCAGGAGGAACACCGGUGGCGAAGGCGGGUCUCUGGGCCGAUAUUGACGCUGAGGAGCGAAAGCGUGGGGAGCAAACAGG